ensembl:lncRNA
CAGCAAGCUACGGGGAUAAGGCAUGUUGACCUCAGCCUUCAGCCUUGGGUCAUCUUGGCUACGGGGUUAAUUCAUGCUGACCUCAGACUGUUGUCCAAAAUCACUUUGUUGAAAAUGUGGACUGAAAAGAGACAGCCCAACUGCCGGGCUGCAAGGCGGGGCGCGGACGGAUCACACAACCAAGCGUACAAAAUUAUUCUCGGAGAAAGACAGAGUUCCAGAGUUGGAGGAGGAGCCACCAAGGGGGGUGGAGCCGGGUGACCAAGUGUACCUCAGGGUGUUCAGGAGAAAGUGGAACGAGCCCAGGAGAGAAGAACCAUACAAAGUCACCAACGCAACACCAACAGCCAUCCAAGUGGAAGGAAGUGCCACGUGGUAUCAUCUCAACCACUGCACAAAAGCCGCUCAACCCAAAAUCAGAGAUGAGCGUGAGGAGGAGCUAUAACAGAAAGUUGAGAUCCCUGAAGACCGGAAUGUGAGAAUCGGACAUCAGAAGGAGGUCCUAUUUUCUUAACUGGUCACCCCCUCCAUGUGAACCACAACCAUUGCAGAUAGUGUGAACAAAUGGACAUUGUACUAAUGGGUUCCAGGGCGUGGUGGCUGCGAACAGGAGCAACAACCACAAUGCCCAAACCCCCCACAUUUAUAUAGUAUACCGCUACAUGACGAUAAUCAGAGCUAUUCAAAUCUAUGCCUGCUUGUUGACAAUCUUAGUAUUUAAUUUCUAUUAUUUACUUCUUUUUUUUUUAAAUGUCAUUUUUUGAGUUUCAUAUUUUUAUGUCAUAUAUUCUGAAAUGCAAAUUUUCAAUACAUGCUGAAAAUAAUUAUAAUAAUAAUA